GACAGUUUUGAAGUUGUUUUCUACUAAAAGAAAUCUUGUGUUGACUGAAUUAGUUUAAAAAAAUAUUUGUUUGUGUUUGCAUCCACUGGGAGAACUCCCUCCCGAAAGAGAGCGUUCCCCCAACGAACAAAAGAAUAGUAGUAAAGUAAACUCCACUGUGUGUAGUAAUUAGAAAGUGUCGAGUCGUGUGAUAAAACACCUCCUUUGGAAUAGAGAGAUCCACGCACACUCCCAGGUCUUUGUCGGCUCCCUCCCCCCACUGCAGAACACCCACCAACCGCGCACUUAAGCGCAGGCAGGAGAAAUAGCAUUCACAGCAGAGAAAAUAUUUUAGGAGCCUCCUGAGUGUCUACACUGGUCCUCCCCAGAGAUGUCUCUCUCCGAGCUCAGACAAAUCAAUUAAAUUUCUUUAAUGAUCCUUCCGCAGGUUCACCUACGGAAAUCGAAUUC
rnacentral:rRNA from 1 species